GUGCUCACUUCGGCAGCACAUAUACUAAAAUUAGAACAACACAGAGAAGAUUAGCAUGGCCCCUGUGCAAAGAUGACAUGCAAAUUUGUGAAGCUUUCUGUAUUUUU
rnacentral:snRNA from 1 species